AUUGAACGCUGGCGGCAGGCCUAACACAUGCAAGUCGAGCGAGCGGCGGACGGGUGAGUAAUGUAUGGGGACUGCCCGAUAGAGGGGGAUAACUACUGGAAACGGUGGCUACUACCGCAUACUAUCGGAUAACCCAUAUGGGAUUAGCUAGUUGGUGAGGUAAUGGCUCACCAAGGCGCCGAUCCCUAGCUGGUCUGAGAGGAUGAUCAGCCACACUGGGACUGAGAGACGGCCCAGACUCCUACGGAGUCAGAGGGGGGGAAUAUUGCACAAUGGGCGCAAGGCUGAUGCAGCCAUGCCGCGUGUAUGAAGAAGGCCCUAGGGUUGUAAAGUACUUUCAGUCGGGAGGCGUUACCGACAGAAGAAGCACCGGCUAACUCCGGGCCAGCCGCCGCGGUAAUAC
rnacentral:rRNA from 1 species